AUUGAACGCUAGCGGCAUGCCUUACACAUGCAAGUCGAACGGCAGCACGGGAGCAAUCCUGGUGGCGAGUGGCGAACGGGUGAGUAAUACAUCGGAACGUGCCCGAUCGUGGGGGAUAACUACUCGAAAGAGUAGCUAAUACCGCAUACGAUCUACGGAUGAAAGCGGGGGAUCGCAAGACCUCGCGCGGACGGAGCGGCCGAUGGCAGAUUAGGUAGUUGGUGGGAUAAGGGCUCACCAAGCUGACGAUCUCUAGCUGGUCUGAGAGGAUGGCCAGCCACACUGGAACUGAGACACGGUCCAG
rnacentral:rRNA from 1 species